ensembl:snRNA U6 U6 spliceosomal RNA
AUGCUCACUUUGGCAGCACAUACACUAAAAUUGGAACGAUACAUGGCCCCUGUGCAAGGGUGACACACAAAUGCAUGAAGCAUUCCAUAUGCUU